UCACUUUUCCCUUUCCUAAAUCAUUAUCUGCCUUCCUUUAACUCCCCCCUACAUCAUUUCCCUCCCUCAUAUCCCUCCCUUUACUCUAGUAGCUCUUCUCUCCCUCUUUGUCCUCAUCUCAGCCCAUUUUGUCUCUGCUCCCUGCUGAGAUUCUUCCCUUUAUUCUCUAUCUCCCUCCCCUCUUCCUCUCAGGGGGCUCAUGUCUCUCCCCUCUUCUAACUGCCCCCUCAUCCCUCCCUCAUUCCUCUUUCAAAACAACUAUUCGCGAAAAUACUGAAGCGACAUCUUUUCUUUCCCCUGGUGUUGUGUGGGUCGGGUUGUGAAGGUCGGGUUGUGUGGGUCGGGUUGUGAAGGUCGGGAUGUGAAGGUCGGCUUGUUUAGUUAAGUUUGCCGUCUUAGAUGUUUGUUUUCUUUAAAUGUUUACAAAUAUUUAAUAGAAAUGUUUGUUUGGUGUUUACUUUAUAACUUAAUGACGACUUCAGGAAGGUUGUAUAAAAGAAGGAGCUUAGAUGUUUAUCAAGGAACUAAAAAAAAAUUUCAAUAACACAGUGCGAUUUUUGGUAAAUAUUAAACAAAAGCGAUUUUUGUUUUGCAUAUCUUAUUCAUUCUAUUCGUCGUUGCCAUAAUUUCAAGAUUUAAAAAAAAUAUAUUAAUAAUUCAAACGUGGACAAAAAUGCGAGAAUUUUUUUUAGUAUAAUGAAACUUUCGCUUUAUGUAAAUCCAGAAUAAUUUACAGUAGGAAAAAAUAGGUUAAAUUGAGGCAGUGUGUGUAAAUGAACACUCACUCUCUAUCACUCUUGUAACUUUUACGAGAAAUUUUAAAACUUUCCCCGACAGAAUUCAAUCAACUUUGUGACUCCCUUCUACUUUUGCAUAACACAAUAAAAAAAAUACAACUAGGAAAAAAAA